CAGUGACAGUUAGGGAGGGAGUGACUAGUGACAGAGAGAGGGAUGGGGUGACUAGUGACAGUCACCCCCUCCCUCACUCUGUCACUAGUCACUCCCUCUGUCACUAGUCACCCC